rnacentral:tRNA from 1 species
GGGUAGAGCUCUGUGGUAGAAUGUCUGCCUUACGUGCAUGAGGCUUUGGGUUCAAUCCCCAGUAACCA